rnacentral:rRNA from 1 species
AUUGAACGCUGGCGGCAUGCUUUACACAUGCAAGUCGAGCGGCAGCGCGGGGGCAACCCUGGCGGCGAGCGGCGAACGGGUGAGUAAUACAUCGGAACGUGUCCCGUAGUGGGGGAUAGCCCGGCGAAAGCCGGAUUAAUACCGCAUAUGCUCUGCGGAGGAAAGCGGGGGAUUCGCAAGAACCUCGCGCUAUGGGAGCGGCCGAUGUCCGAUUAGCUUGUUGGUGAGGUAAAGGCUCACCAAGGCGACGAUCGGUAGCUGGUCUGAGAG